rnacentral:lncRNA from 1 species
GGAGACCGCUCGUCGUAGAAGCUCUGAUGGAGUCUGGUUACUGUAGAAGUCCUGCUACUGGAGAAGCUCGGACAUUGACGAAGUCCGGAAGAAGCUUGGAGUAAAGUUGAUCGUGACAGGAGGAAGUCGGAAAAAGAUUCGGAGAGUAGUCGAGGGUACUGUGAGAGCUCGUCCGUUGGAGAAGUCCGGAGGGUACUGUGGAAGUUCUUCCGUCGGAGGAGUCCGGAGGGUACCGUGGAAGUUCGGACGGUCGGAGAAGUUCAGAAAGACGCCGCACAA